UAGGGAAUCUUCGGCAAUGGGGGCAACCCUGACCGAGCAACGCCGCGUGAGUGAAGAAGGUUUUCGGAUCGUAAAGCUCUGUUGUAAGAGAAGAACGUGUGUGAGAGUGGAAAGUUCACACAGUGACGGUAACUUACCAGAAAGGGACGGCUAACUACGUGCCAGCAGCCGCGGUAAUACGUAGGUCCCGAGCGUUGUCCGGAUUUAUUGGGCGUAAAGCGAGUGCAGGCGGUUUAAUAAGUCUGAAGUUAAAGGCAGUGGCUUAACCAUUGUUCGCUUUGGAAACUGUUAAACUUGAGUGCAGAAGGGGAGAGUGGAAUUCCAUGUGCAGCGGUGAAAUGCGUAGAUAUAUGGAGGAACACCGGUGGCGAAAGCGGCUCUCUGGUCUGUAACUGACGCUGAGGCUCGAAAGCGUGGGGAGCAAACAGG
rnacentral:rRNA from 1 species